CCCUUAGAGUUUGAUCCUGGCUCAAGAUGACCUCUAGCUACAGGCUUAACACAUGCAAGUCGAGGGGCAGCAUGGUCUUAUCUUGCUAAGGCCGAUGGCGACCGGCGCACGGGUGAGUAACACGUAUCCAACCUGCCGUCUACUCUUGGACAGCCUUCUGAAAGGAAGAUUAAUACAAGAUGGCAUCAUGAGUCCGCAUGUUCACAUGAUUAAAGGUAUUCCGGUAGACGAUGGGGAUGCGUUCCAUUAGAUAGUAGGCGGGGUAACGGCCCACCUAGUCUUCGAUGGAUAGGGGUUCUGAGAGGAAGGUCCCCCACAUUGGAACUGAGACACGGUCCAAACUCCUACGGGAGGCAGCAGUGAGGAAUAUUGGUCAAUGGGCGAGAGCCUGAACCGGCCAAGUAGCGUGAAGGAUGACUGCCCUAUGGGUUGUAAACUUCUUUUAUAAAGGAAUAAAGUCGGGUAUGGAUACCCGUUUGCAUGUACUUUAUGAAUAAGGAUCGGCUAACUCCGUGCCAGCAGCCGCGGUAAUACGGAGGAUCCGAGCGUUAUCCGGAUUUAUUGGGUUUAAAGGGAGCGUAGAUGGAUGUUUAAGUCAGUUGUGAAAGUUUGCGGCUCAACCGUAAAAUUGCAGUUGAUACUGGAUAUCUUGAGUGCAGUUGAGGCAGGCGGAAUUCGUGGUGUAGCGGUGAAAUGCUUAGAUAUCACGAAGAACUCCGAUUGCGAAGGCAGCCUGCUAAGCUGCAACUGACAUUGAGGCUCGAAAGUGUGGGUAUCAAACGGGAUUAGAUACCCUGGUAGUCCACACGGUAA
rnacentral:rRNA from 1 species